UGGCUUCUCAAGCAAGCCAUGCCGACAUGUUUGUGACUCCCACAAGGCAUGGCUCGUGGUUGGAGACUUGUGUGGGAGGAUCAGGUGUGAGCUUGAUUGGAAGAAGUUAGUUUGACCGAAGUUAGAUGGGGGCAAGGCUGUGUAUUUGUUGAUGAGAAGAAAGGAAUAAGGACAGGUGUAGAAAGUAGACUGGACCGUUGAAGUUUAACAGUGCAAUUAGCUUUGCGUCCAUUAGUUACUCCGGGCAAUAGAUCUCCGG
rnacentral:lncRNA from 1 species